rnacentral:rRNA from 1 species
UACGGGGGGAGCAAGCGUUGUUCGGAUUUACUGGGCUUAAAGGGCGCGUAGGCGGGUGCUCAAGUCUGUGGUGAAAUCCUCCGGCUCAACCGGAGAACUGCCAUGGAUACUGGGUGUCUCGAGGGUGGUAGGGGUAUGCGGAACUAUCGGUGGAGCGGUGAAAUGCGUUGAUAUCGAUAGGAACUCCGGUGGCGAAGGCGGCAUACUGGACCACAUCUGACGCUGAGGCGCGAAAGCCAGGGGAGCAAACGGG